rnacentral:rRNA from 1 species
GGGGCAUAUUGCACAAUGGGUGCAAGCCUGAUCCAGCCAUGCCGCGUGGUUGAAGAACGCCUUCGGUUUGUAAAGCCCUCUUCUUGGGAAAGCAAUGCAGCCGGCCAAUCCCCGUUUCUUCUGACGGUACCCAAAGAAUAAGCACCGGCUAACUUCGUGCCAGCAGCCGCGGUAAUACGAAGGGUGCAAGCGUUACUCGGAAUUACUGGGCGUAAAGCGUGCGUAGGUGGUGGUUUAAGUCCGUUGUGAAAGCCCUGGGCUCAACCUGGGAACUGCAGUGGAUACUGGAUCACUAGAGUGUGGCAGAGGGUAGUGGAAUUCCCGGUGUAGCAGUGAAAUGCGUAGAGAUCGGGAGGAACAUCAGUGGCGAAGGCGACUGCCUGGGCCAACACUGACACUGAGGCACGAAAGCGUGGGGAGCAAACA